CACGUCAGUGCGCUUUGCUGACAUAGCAACAAAUCGCGCUUCAGAGGACGCGAUUUGUGUCCACGUCAGCAAAUCACGCUGACAUGG
rfam:Gossypium hirsutum cultivar TM-1 chromosome 19, whole genome shotgun sequence